GGAAAACCUAGAUCGAGGCAUCCAAAGCCGCGACCCAAUCCCCGCCCCUCCUCUCGUCUCACCUCCUCCCCAAUCAGCGGAGGCCAGCGGCGCGCCGCCUCUCCCCCGAAUCCGCGGCGCCGGAGAAGGAGCAGCCAGCCCGAGCAGCUUGGGCGGCCCAUUCAGGUGGCGACAUCGGUGGCGGCGGGCGGAGACAGGCUGGCGCGGGGCGGAUCCUCGGCAGCGGCGAACGGAGGCGUCGGGCGCGGCCGGAGACGGUCCGGCGCGUGACGGAACCGCGGCGGCUUCGACUGGAGGCGCCGGGCCUCGGCCGCGGCGCGGAGGCCGGGACUGAGAUCCAGGCUCGCGCGCGUCCUGCUCGUCGACAAGGUGGACUACCUCCAGUGGAUCGGCACCGCCGCGGCCUUCUUCUUCGUCACCAUCCUCGUUGCAGUGACGCAGGUGACCUCCACCCUUUCUUUAGACGGAUCCGUAGUGACCCCUCCCUGAUCUGUCCAUUCCCGUCAAGAUAACUAAGAUCACAUCUACUUUGUGGGCUAGAGACGUUCUUUGGAUGGCUGCAGCCUGCAGACGCGCGCUGGAUCUGGAACAACCGAGUAUGUAACUCGCCAUGACUGGUUUGUUUGUUCUGUUCGAUUUGUUCCCUCACUGGUAGCUUGGGUCGAGGAGACAAACCAACAUCAUAUCUGACAGGAAAAUCAGAGGCAAGAACAUGAAGUGGCCAGCUGUAGGUCAUCGACCCCUUUUACAACUGGGCCGGAGGCUACAUGUCCUUUCCGGCGACCUCGCCAUCUCCAUCCCAUCCAUAGGCUUACAACAGCUCCAACAUGUCAUUUUUCUAUGCAACCGACUCUUUGGUUUAUGCUAGCUGGUCAUGGAUGUGUGAUGCUAUUCCGCUGGUGAGCAUGAAAGUAAAUCAUGAAGAUAUGAUUCACACUUGGAACACAGGUGCUCCCAUUGGUGAACACUCGUCCGAUCCCAUUAACAAAAGUCUCAUGUUUUAUCUAGAUAGGUCUAACAUUUGUGCUGCUGGCUCAUUACUUCAUGAGUAAACACUCCUGAUGUUUAUUGGAAAAUACUUCUUGGGGAAGAAAAGGCUCAACCGUUGAUAAU